GGGGGGGGGUUGUGCAUUUGCACCGGCACAAAUUAUAAAAACAGGAAAAACAGAAGUCCUUGUGGGACUCCAGGCCGGGAGGUAGAGCGGGGAAGGCGAGUCCUGGAGAGGCCUAUGAAGAACGACUCACCGGGGGCUCGUUUCACUCCGUCGGCAACAACAAGCCGCCGGGCGGCUCGCUGCGAGUCACUCAGUGUCUUAUUAGAGCGUACGCCGGGCCGAGGAGGAACACCUUAUCAACCAGAUGUGAGCGGCUGUGAUAGAUGUGCUGUAUCCAGCUGCAUUGAGCCGAUAAGCACCCAAAUGAAAUUCUCUCUACAUGCGUGCUCUAAUUAAAAAGAGUCGCUCAGGUCUCAGAAAGUCCCCAUUUGAUGUAGUUAAUCUUUGUUUAAAAUGAUGCAAGUAGCGCACCGCCGCCGCGCCGUGGGUUCUCCACAUCUCGGGUUGAUAAUUAUAUAUGAAUCGCAAUGCUCUCUUUUCUCCUGACCACCUGCUGCUCGCGCCGCCGUCUCUGUACACGGAAGGUGACGCGAUCAGUAUUCAGCCGGCUUCUCCCCCUCCUGUCGUUUCUCACAAAGCAGCCCUAGGGGCAUUAGCGGUGAACCCCUACCCACAUGGGGCCUGUUGGUCGCCCUGACACCUGUCUCCCUCACGUUGACCCCCGGUCACGCCAUGGAUCACGCUACAAUGCCUCGGAGCCUGAGUCCGCCGCCACGGCCAGACAUUGACGGGCAGCCUCGGCCGGCCAACAUGCAGAUGGGCUUUUGGAAAACAUUUAAAUUAAAAGUAUCGCCGGCAGGAUCAUUUUUAUUUGAACAAGUCUGGCUCGGCAUUGAUUCAGCUGAGGGGGACACCUAAUGGAAUUAGAAACUUUUCCACAAUUGACUUGGGUUAUAAUUGUGAGUGAGUGGAUAGAAGGGAAAACAACAAGACAUACAUUUACCUUUUUUAGUGGAAGCAUUUAGUCAUUUUUCGUAACGUUCCAAAGUGAAUGGGUUCGGGGACAUUCCAGGAACCUUGUCUUUAACAUGAUAAGUCACUGAACCGGUACGAAUGGCCAAACCCAACAUAAAUAUACACAUAGCACUUGAUCAUGUCUACCUGUGGUCCACGAUAUCGGCCCAUUAGAGUGUUUUUGUUGAAAGUGGGGUUAGUGUUUCUGGCAUCGUGUCUGGUGCAGAGAACACAAUAUGGUUUAUGGAUCGAGUUCACUCAAUACUGCUGCAUUUUCCUCUUGUUACUCAUUACUCAUUCAUGCUGGCUCCUGUCAGGUUACGACUGCAUUAGAAUCUGUUUAAAUGUUGUUUGAAUUAUUUCACUGAAACAUAGUGCUUUAUAUGCGAAUUUUCUGCAAAUGUGCUUUGUCGCUGUUUUGCAAAGUGCAUAAUUUUUGUUGGACCUUAAUCUGCAAAACUGUGCUAAAUUCUCAUAUAUAAUUGAAUGGUUUUUGUAAUUAUUGAAAUAUCAGCAUUUUGUGUGUUUGCAAACACUUCCUGGUCAAUAGCGGGUGUGCAAAAAAUACUGAUGCAACCAAAUACUGAUGCAACCAAACCCUGAAGCGUGAAGCAGACAUUAUGCCAAUAUACAGUUGACUGCCUAUAUUUGGAUUUUCUGACAAUAUGUUUAAAUGCUGAACACAAUGAAAAAGCACCUGACAUUGCUCUUCCUGUCUGUCCCACCGUACCUGUCUGAAAGGAUCUGUAGCGCCGUGCCACAGGAGACAACAAUGUAUGGUCCACCUUUGCAAAGUUCUCUCGGCGUGGGUGGAGAUGCUCGCAGGCGGUGGACGGUUCCCUCUAAUGAGCCUGCUUGUGACAUGGGAAGAGGAGCCAAUGGCUUGUUGAUUCACAUAACCCCCCCCCCCAAAAAACGAGGGAACAUUUCCCCAGCCAUUCAUCAAUGUCCCCUUCCCCGUGUACAGUCUGCCGCGUACAACUCGCCUCUGCAGCCGCCGUGCGGGCUCGCGAGGACUGAGGCCACAGCGCCGCUCGUCUCGCGCCGGGGCUCUCUGCGCCGCACUUGCAUCUGCCGGCGAUGUUCUCUUCUGUCGGCCUUUCAACAUGCAACAUUAUUUGGAAAAACUCCUCGGAAACCGCUGGCGAUGCCUUUAAGUGUGAGGAUUCGCUCUAUUUGCGCUCCGGCCCACUGGAGGAAACCUUUCUGACACCAGUGCUUUUUUUGAACACAGCGAUGCACUUUGAUGCUUUCAAGUGCAGGAGCUGUAAAGUACAGCGUCGUGCAGAAACUAGUCCAGUGACUUCUUUACACCAGCUCCAGGUGUGAUAAGAAGGAAAAAAAUGAAAUUCAAACCCAUGCAUGUUGCAAACGAAGACGAGGAAACGUGACCGUGGCUGCUUUUGAUCAUUAACAACGUGCAAGGAAGGUGGUAAAGAUGGGCAAUGCAAAUGAAUGGUAUUGAAG
ensembl:lncRNA